AGCAGUCGCCACGGGAAUACAGAGGGUGCGAGCGUUAAUCGGAUUUACUGGGCGUAAAGCGUGCGUAGGCGGCUUCUUAAGUCGGAUGUGAAAUCCCUGAGCUUAACUUAGGAAUUGCAUUCGAUACUGGGAAGCUAGAGUAUGGGAGAGGAUGGUAGAAUUCCAGGUGUAGCGGUGAAAUGCGUAGAGAUCUGGAGGAAUACCGAUGGCGAAGGCAGCCAUCUGGCCUAAUACUGACGCUGAGGUACGAAAGCAUGGGGAGCAAACAGGAUUAGAUACCCGUGUAGUCCCUGUCUCUUAUAC
rnacentral:rRNA from 1 species